UGCGUAGGCGGUGCGGUAAGUCUUUUGUGAAAUCUCCGGGCUCAACUCGGAGUCUGCAGGAGAAACUGCCGUGCUUGAGUAUGGGAGAGGUGAGUGGAAUUCCUGGUGUAGCGGUGAAGUGCGUAGAUAUCAGGAGGAACACCUGUGGCGAAAGCGGCUCACUGGACCAUAACUGACGCUGAUGCACGAAAGCUAGGGGAGCAAACAGGAUUAGAUACCCUGGUAGUCCUAGCCCUAAACGAUGAUUGCUUGGUGUGUCGGGUACCCAAUCCCGACGUGCCGGAGCUAACGCGAUAAGCAAUCCGCCUGGGGAGUACGGUCGCAAGGCUGAA
rnacentral:rRNA from 1 species